GCCCGAGUGGCGAAAUUGGUAUACGCACAGCACUCAAAAUGCUGCGGAGUUAAAUCCAUGCCGGUUCGAGUCCGGCCUCGGGCACCA
rnacentral:tRNA from 2 species